rnacentral:rRNA from 1 species
AUCCUGGCUCAGGAUGAACGCUAGCUACAGGCUUAACACAUGCAAGUCGAGGGGAAACGAUAUUGGAAGCUUGCUUCCGAUAGGCGUCGACCGGCGCACGGGUGAGUAACGCGUAUCCAACCUGCCCACCACUUGGGGAUAACCUUGCGAAAGUAAGACUAAUACCCAAUGAUAUCUCUAGAAGACAUCUGAAAGAGAUUAAAGAUUUAUCGGUGAUGGAUGGGGAUGCGUUCCAUUAG